AGUUGAUGAUACCCUAGAUGACGAGUCAGAUUCGUGUUAAACGAUGUUGAUAACACUAUUUUAAUUACCAUUCAUGCCUUUCUGAUG
rnacentral:snoRNA from 1 species